UCGACCGCGACCCCAGG
rnacentral:rRNA from 4 species